UUUAAUAAGUAAACAACAUUCAUACAGUGUUUCAAAAAAAAACAUUCAUAACGUGAUAAAGACAUUAAAAACAUAAUAGUCAUUUUAGUUAACUAUGUUUCAAAUCAAUCCUAACAUCCUACUCUUGUGAACAUUACUUGGAGUUGGAAAAUUUUACCACAAAUAAAUGUAGGGUAAUUGUCAAUAAUAGCAUCUUUUGAAGUUUAUGUCUCAAAAAUAGUACUAGAAGGAGAAAGUCACAAAAAUGAAAUUCACUAAAGGGUAAAAUAUCCCUAAUACUCUUGG
rnacentral:lncRNA from 1 species